UCUCACCUCCCUGGCCUCUGGGUGCUUGUGGUGGUGGUGGCUGGUGGGGGGUGGACAGAGCGCGUCUUCACAGGGAGUCUGGUGCCCAAACUUCCCUCCGGCCCCCUGCUGGCCUAGCCUCACUCCUGGGGGUGGGGGGCGGGGAUUCUCCUCCUCCAACACACUGGGUUCUCAGGCCUGGGGGUCUCCUUCCUCAGGGACACUCACUCAGCUGUAGGCGGGGUUCUGUGGUUACCUGGUUACCAUCUGUCUCCCCUGGGGGGACGGUGGGCCCCCUGGCCAAGGAACCCUGUCACUGAGCGAAUGCUCUACAGAAAAGCUUCGAGUUUCGGGAGCAUUCUCGACUGGUCCUGAGUCAACUGCUCUCCCUCAGCCUUAAUCCUUGGACCUUCUUCCUCGGCUGGUGGGAUCCAGGAUAAAGUGGGAUAAAUCCAGGAGGAAGCAGGACGUGGCAGAGAGGCCGGCCCGAGGCCAGGACCAGAACAAGACGGUGUGUAAGUCAGAGGAGAAGGAAUCCCGAAGCAAAGCAUACCUUCGCCGCUCACGUCGCGUGUAUUCUGCUUCUCUCGCCAGCAUGGACUUCUCCAGCAGGAUUAACCUUCCAGAACACACAAGGGAUGAGCCUGCUCCUUCUGGGAUGGCCACAGUACCUCUGACUUUGGAACGAGCAAUUCAGACUCACCACGUUGUGGUUCGCUCGUGUCUCUUCUCUGCCCGGGGGUUAGACGAUGCAGUUCCCGGGCGAGCAAAGGAGGAUUCGAGUGGGAGGGAAAGCAGGGGACGCUGGAGGAUGGGAGGUUGCGGUCAGAGCGGGAUGCCCAGCACGAUCUCUGAGUCUGAGCAGCUCUGGGCACAGCCCAGAGGAGGCCAGGACAGCAAGGCGAUAUUGGACCAACUACGUGGACCAGGAAUGAGACUGUAGCAUCACCUUGAUGAAAAGGACGAAGAAAUGUUGAAACUCCCAAAGAAGCAAUUAAAUGGCAGAUUUCUUUUUCUUUAGUUCAAAGUUAUGAUAAGCAACAAUAACAUCAUCCACUAAAUAACAUAUUCGUUAUAAACGUAACAUUUUCCACACAGAAGCCUGGAACUAUGAUGAGAAGACGUAGAAAAAGGAGAAGAAUAAAAGUCACAGAGGGACGAGAUCAUGGAAAUUAGCAGAUGGAGAAAAUACCUAAGCAUGAUUUAUACGGUUAAGUAAGUUUCAGAAAAAAAUUUUAAAUUAUGACUAAGCACUAGGAGACUCUAAAAUGAAUCAAGAUGUUUGAGGGGCGCCUAGGUGGCUCAGUCGGUGAAGCAUCCGACGUAGUAGGCUCAGGUCAUGAUCUCGUGGUCUGUAA